rnacentral:rRNA from 1 species
UACGGAGGGUGCAAGCGUUAUCCGGAUUCACUGGGUUUAAAGGGUGCGUAGGCGGGCAGGUAAGUCAGUGGUGAAAUCUUUGGGCUUAACCCGAAAACUGCCAUUGAUACUAUCUGUCUUGAAUAUUGUGGAGGUUUGCGGAAUAUGUCAUGUAGCGGUGAAAUGCUUAGAUAUGACAUAGAACACCUAUUGCGAAGGCAGCAAACUACGCAUAUAUUGACGCUGAGGCACGAAAAGCGUGGGGAGUCAAACAGG